rnacentral:tRNA from 1 species
UUUAAAUUCUAAAAAUGAUAUUAUAUUAUAUCUUACAUUA